rnacentral:sRNA from 1 species
GGCGCGGCCCACCGGAGAGGUGGCAGAGUGGUUGAAUGUACCUGACUCGAAAUCAGGCAGGCGUUUAUAGCGCCUCGGGGGUUCGAAUCCCCCCCUCUCCGCCAGAUUCGCGAGCAACCGACGAUCCCGGCCCGGCGCCGGGAUCGUCGGUUUUGC